rnacentral:rRNA from 1 species
UGGGGAAUUUUGGACAAUGGGCGAAAGCCUGAUCCAGCAAUGCCGCGUGUGUGAAGAAGGCCUUCGGGUUGUAAAGCACUUUUGUCCGGAAAGAAAUCCUUGGCUCUAAUACAGUCGGGGGAUGACGGUACCGGAAGAAUAAGCACCGGCUAACUACGUGCCAGCAGCCGCGGUAAUACGUAGGGUGCAAGCGUUAAUCGGAAUUACUGGGCGUAAAGCGUGCGCAGGCGGUUUGCUAAGACCGAUGUGAAAUCCCCGGGCUCAACCUGGGAACUGCAUUGGUGACUGGCAGGCUAGAGUAUGGCAGAGGGGGGUAGAAUUCCACGUGUAGCAGUGAAAUGCGUAGAGAUGUGGAGGAAUACCGAUGGCGAAGGCAGCCCCCUGGGCCAAUACUGACGCUCAUGCACGAAAAGCGUGGGGGAGCAAACAGGAUUAGAUACCCUGGUAGUCCACGCCCUAAAACGAUGUCAACUAGUUGUUGGGGAUUCAUUUCCUUAGUAACGUAGCUAACGCGUGAAGUUGACCGCCUGGGGAGUACGGUCGCAAGAUUAAAACUCAAAUGAAUUGACGGGGUCAUAGCUGUUUCC